AGAAUCUAGAUAAAUUUGGCCCAUUUAUUAAAAGUCCAAUAUGAGGAAAAACCCUAGUUCAUUUCUCAGCCACCAUCACUUCAUUUCACACUCUCUCCUCUCUCUAGCUAUUUCAAUUUUCAAAAUUUAAUCCCUAGAUCUCUCAAAAUCUCAAGUUUAAUCUUUGUUCAUCGGUGUCAUACACUCUCCCAUGGUUAUCUAAGCGAAUUCGAGGAGUUAGAAUAGUGUGGUUUGUGCUUGGAUCCAUCAUUGGAUUAAUCAAAUGGUUUGGAGCUUGUAUUAUUACUUUUGUAUUGUGUAGUGGACUUUUAUAUUAGUUGGUUGUUUGUAUAAGCUUUUAAUUUUAUGGAACUUUUUCGAGGAACUUUUAAUUUGUAAUUUAUAUGUAUUUUUAGCUUUAAUGUGUACUCCUAUUAAUAAUUAUGUGUAUAAUAUUGUGUGUUAUAAAUUAAGAUUA